UUUCCGUAGGUGAACCUGCGGAAGGAUCAUUAACGUAUAAAUGAUUUCCAUUAUACAAUUCAAUUACUGAUCAUUAUUUUGUGAUCUUGAUUAGUGAUUGCUUGUACUUCAAGUACAAGAAUUAGAGAAGUUUAAGUUUUGGCUUAAAUUAAGAUCACUCUCGAAUCAUAUUUUUUUACUAUUAUAUGAUUAAAACAUACUCAGAAAUUGAUCAUAAAAGGAGAAAUUCUUUGUGAUGUAAAAUAAAAAUAAUCCAUAACAACUGUUAGCAACGGAUACCUAGGCUCUUGUAACGAUGAAGAACGCAGC
rnacentral:misc_RNA from 1 species